rnacentral:rRNA from 1 species
GAUAAACGCUGGCGGCGCACAUAAGACAUGCAAGUCGAACGGACUUAACUCAUUCUUUUAGAUUGAGAGCGGUUAGUGGCGGACUGGUGAGUAACACGUAAGCAACCUGCCUAUUAGAGGGGAAUAACAGUGAGAAAUCAUUGCUAAUACCGCAUAAGCCCACAGCUCGGCAUCGAGCAGAGGGAAAGGAGUGAUCCGCUUUGAGAUGGCCUCGCGUCCGAUUAGCUGGUUGGUGAGGUAACGGCCCACCAAGGCAACGAUCGGUAGCCGGACUGAGAGGUUGAACGGCCACAUUGGGACUGAGACACGGCCCAG